GCCCGCCCGGCCGGGACCGAGCGGAGGCGGGGAGGGGCGGGGCGGGGGCGCACCUGUUUGGCCAAUCGACCCCACUACAAACCACCUCGCCCCGGCCACACUGCCAGACUGAACAGGGCGAUCCCCUCUGCUCUCGGCACCGUCCGCCCAUUCCCCGCUUGGACCCGAUAGGAAGACUGAGAGGCCAAAAGGAGACAAAACCUUCUCGGUCGUGGUGGCGAGACGGCGACUUUUUCAAACUAAAGGAGUCUGAGAAGCCCCAGAGAUAGCAUCUGAGAAAGGCUUUGUAAAACAACAACAACAACAAAACAAAAACAAAAACCUGAGGGGCAUGCCCCAGGAACAAGAAAUGAAGAAAUUCAAAGAGGAAGAAGAUGGAGAUCUGCUCUCACAAAGCCACUAGCUCUUCUAAUUCAAGGGAGAAGGUGUGCCUUAGCUAAGCCCUGAUAAGGUACAGCUAGACUGUGUGGUACUAGCCCAGGGAGAGACCAAGAGGCUGGUGGUGGACCAGAACAAGGGCUGCCAAAAUAGACUCACACAUGUAUGGAAACCUGGUAUGCGGCAAGAGUGGUGCUGCACGUCACUGGGAAAGGGUGGGCUUUUCUAUAAAGGAUGUUUUUUAGAGUAACUGGAUAUCCACAUUGUGGAAAAAAGAUACGAAAUCCCUACCCCACACCUUCCAUUAAGAAAAAAAAUUCCAGGUGGAUUAAAGACUUAAACACAAAGAACCUGUGUAAUAGGGGAAGAUUUUUUAAAGAUCCCCAAAGCUGGGGCCUUUGGGUGGCUCAGUCGUUAAGCAUCUGUCUUCAGGUCAGGUCAUGAUUGCAGGGUGCUGGGAUCGAGCCCCGCAACAGGCUCCCCAGAAUCUGCUUCUCCUUCUCCCUCUGCCUGCUGCUCUCCCUACUUGUGCUCACUCUCUCUCUCUGUCAAAUAAAUAAAUAAAAUCUUAAAAAAAAAAAAAACCCUCAAAAGAACAAACUAUCAAGGAAAAGAUUGAUACACUUAAUUGAAGGAUAAAAUUCAGGGCACCUGGGUGUCUCAAUUGGUUGGGUUUCCAAUUCGUGGUUUUGGCUCAGAUCGUGAUCUCUGUGUGUUGCAAUCAAGCCCAUGACGGGCUCCACCACUCAGCACUGAGUCUGUUUGGGAUCCUCUUCUCCUUCUACCCUCCCCCAGCUCAUGUGC